ACGAUACUCCUUCCGUCCUAAAAUUCUUGUCUUAGAUUUGUCUAAAUACGGAUAUAUCAAGUCACAUUUUAGUAUUAGAUACAUCCGUCUCUAGACAAAUCUAAGACAAGAAUUUUGAGACGAAGGGAGUAUAAU
rfam:Triticum aestivum genome assembly, contig: Triticum_aestivum_CS42_TGACv1_scaffold_375285_5AL